CAAUAGCGUAUAUUAAAGUUGUUGCAGUUAAAAAGCUCGUAGUUGGACUUCAGGUCGUCCGGACGGUGCGCCGCAAGGUGAUCUACUGUCUUUUAGGGCGACCCUCCUCUCGAGAACCGUUCGUGCCCUUAACUGGGUGUGUUCGGGGCUCGGGACCUUUACUUUGAAAAAAUUAGAGUGUUCAAAGCAGGCCUUCGCUUGAAUACUUCAGCAUGGAAUAAUGGAAUAGGACUUUGGUUCUAUUUGUUGGUUUCAGGACCGAAGUAAUGAUUAAUAGGGACAGUCGGGGGCAUUCGUAUUUAAUUGUCAGAGGUGAAAUUCUUGGAUUUAUGAAAGACGAACAUCUGCGAAAGCAUUUGCCAAGGAUGUUUNCAUUA
rnacentral:rRNA from 1 species